AGUGGGCAUUUGCCACUGGGCGCAGCCUGAUGCAGCAACGCCGCGUGAGGGAUGACGGCCUUCGGGUUGUAAACCUCUUUUAGCAGGGAAGAAGCGAAAGUGACGGUACCUGCAGAAAAAGCGCCGGCUAACUACGUGCCAGCAGCCGCGGUAAUACGUAGGGCGCAAGCGUUAUCCGGAAUUAUUGGGCGUAAAGAGCUCGUAGGCGGUUUGUCGCGUCUGCUGUGAAAUCCGGAGGCUCAACCUCCGGCCUGCAGUGGGUACGGGCAGACUAGAGUGCGGUAGGGGAGAUUGGAAUUCCUGGUGUAGCGGUGGAAUGCGCAGAUAUCAGGAGGAACACCGAUGGCGAAGGCAGAUCUCUGGGCCGUAACUGACGCUGAGGAGCGAAAGGGUGGGGAGCAAACAGGCUUAGAUACCCUGGUAGUCCACCCCGUAAACGUUGGGAACUAGUUGUGGGGUCCAUUCCACGGAUUCCGUGACGCAGCUAACGCAUUAAGUUCCCCGCCUGGGGAGUACGGCCGCAAGGCUAAAACUCAAAGGAAUUGACGGGGACCCGCACAAGCGGCGGAGCAUGCGGAUUAAUUCGAUGCAACGCGAAGAACCUUACCAAGGCUUGACAUAUACGAGAACGGGCCAGAAAUGGUCAACUCUUUGGACACUCGUAAACAGGUGGUGCAUGGUUGUCGUCAGCUCGUGUCGUGAGAUGUUGGGUUAAGUCCCGCAACGAGCGCAACCCUCGUUCUAUGUUGCCAGCACGUAAUGAUGGGAACUCAUGGGAUACUGCCGGGGAUCAACUCGGAGGAAGGUGGGGAUGACGUCAAUCAUCAUGCCCCUUAUGUCUUGGGGCUUU
rnacentral:rRNA from 1 species